rnacentral:rRNA from 1 species
GUGGGGAAUAUUGGGCAAUGGGCGAAAGCCUGACCCAGCAACGCCGCGUGAAGGAAGAAGGUCUUCGGAUUGUAAACUUUUGUCUUAUGGGACGAUAAUGACGGUACCAUAGGAGGAAGCCACGACUAACUACGUGCCAGCAGUCGCGGUAAUACGUAGGUGGCGAGCGUUAUCCGGAAUUAUUGGGUGUAAAGGGUGCGUAGGCGGGACGUAAAGUCAGAUGUGAAAUGCGGAGGCUCAACCUCCGAACUGCAUUUGAAACUUACGUUCUUGAGUGGAGUAGAGGCAAGCGGAAUUCCCGGUGUAGCGGUGAAAUGCAUAGAUAUCGGGAGGAACACCAGUGGCGAAGGCGGCUUGCUGGGCUUUUACUGACGCUGAGGCACGAAAGUGUGGGGAGCAAACAGGAUUAGAUACCCUAGUAGUCC